AACGAACGCUGGCGGCAUGCCUAACACAUGCAAGUCGAACGAGACCUUCGGGUCUAGUGGCGCACUGGUGCGUAACGCGUUGGAACCUGCCCUUAGGUUCGGAAUAACUCCCCGAAAGGGGUGCUAAUACCGGAUAAUGUCUUCGGUCCAAAGAUUUAUCGCCUUUGGAUGGGCCCGCGUUGGAUUAGCUAGUUGGUAGGGUAAAAGCCUACCAAGGCGACGAUCCAUAGCUGGUAUGAGAGGAUGAUCAGCCACACUGGGACUGAGACACGGCCCAGACUACUACGGGAGGCAGCAGUGGGGAAUAUUGGAAAAUGGGCGAAAGCCUGAUCCAGCAAUGACGCGUGAGUGAUGAAGGCCUUAGGGUUGUAAAGCUCUUUUACACGGGAUGAUAAUGACAGUACCGGGAGAAUAAGCACCGGCUAACUCCGUG
rnacentral:rRNA from 1 species